UACAGAGGGUGCAAGCGUUAAUCGGAAUUACUGGGCGUAAAGCGUGCGUAGACGGUUAUGUAAGUCGGGUGUGAAAGCCCCGGGCUCAACCUGGGAAUUGCAUUCGAGACUGCAUAGCUAGGGUGCGGAAGAGGGAAGCGGAAUUUCCGGUGUAGCGGUGAAAUUCGUAGAUAUCGGGAGGAACACCAGUGGCGAAGGCGGCGAUCUGGGAAGAUACUGACGCUGAGGUGCGAAAGCGUGGGGAGCAAACAGG
rnacentral:rRNA from 1 species